UGGCAGAGCUGGGUCAAGGUCCAGCAAUGAAAGCUUUGGGAGAGAAAACUCUUCCCUGGAGUGUUACAGCUUAGUAAGACAGGCACUCUCAGCUGAUCUUUGGUGA
rnacentral:miRNA from 14 species